ensembl:ncRNA Y111B2A.31 ncRNA
CUUAGGCUUAGGCUUAGGUUUUGGCUUAGUCUUAGGCUAAGGCUUAGACUUAGAAUGAGUUUUACGCUUAGAACCAGGCUUUGGCUUAAGCUUAGGCUUGGGCUUAGGCCUAGGUUUAGAUAGAGACUUAGACUUAGGCUUAGGCUUAGG